AUCUACGGCCAUGCCACCCUGAACAAGCCCGAUCUCGUCUGAUCUCAGAAGCUAAGCAGGGUCGGGCCUGGGUAGUAUUUGGAUGAGAGACCACCUGGGAAAACCAGGUGCUAAUAAAAU
rnacentral:rRNA from 1 species